rnacentral:rRNA from 1 species
UACCUAUACGUUGCCUCGGCGGAUCAGCCCGCGCCCCGUAAAAAGGGACGGCCCGCCCGAGGACCCCUAAACUCUGUUUUUAGUGGAACUUCUGAGUAAAACAAACAAAUAAAUCAAAACUUUCAACAACGGAUCUCUUGGUUCUGGCAUCGAUGAAGAACGCAGCAAAAUGCGAUAAGUAAUGUGAAUUGCAGAAUUCAGUGAAUCAUCGAAUCUUUGAACGCACAUUGCGCCCGCCAGUAUUCUGGCGGGCAUGCCUGUUCGAGCGUCAUUUCAACCCUCAAGCUCAGCUUGGUGUUGGGACUCGCGGUAACCCGCGUUCCCCAAAUCGAUUGGCGGUCACGUCGAGCUUCCAUAGCGUAGUAAUCAUACACCUCGUUACUGGUAAUCGUCGCGGCCACGCCGUAAAACCCCAACUUCUGAAUGUUGACCUCGGAUCAGGUAGGAAUACCCGCUGAACUUAAGCAUAUCAAAAGGCGGGAGGAA